CCUACGGGGUGCAGCAGUGAGGAAUAUUGGUCAAUGGGCGUAAGCCUGAACCAGCCAAGUCGCGUGAGGGAUGAAGGUUCUAUGGAUCGUAAACCUCUUUUAUAAGGGAAUAAAGUGUGGGACGUGUCCUGUUUUGUAUGUACCUUAUGAAUAAGGAUCGGCUAACUCCGUACCAGCAGCCGCGGUAAUACGGAGGAUCCGAGCGUUAUCCGGAUUUAUUGGGUUUAAAGGGUGCGUAGGCGGCCUUUUAAGUCAGCGGUGAAAGUCUGUGGCUCAACCAUAGAAUUGCCGUUGAAACUGGGAGGCUUGAGUAUGUUUGAGGCAGGCGGAAUGCGUGGUGUAGCGGUGAAAUGCUUAGAUAUCACGCAGAACCCCGAUUGCGAAGGCAGCCUGCCAAGCCAUGACUGACGCUGAUGCACGAAAGCGUGGGGAUCAAACAGGAUUAGAUACCCCAGUAGUC
rnacentral:rRNA from 1 species